rnacentral:rRNA from 1 species
AUUGAACGCUGGCGGCAUGCUUUACACAUGCAAGUCGAACGGCAGCGCGGGCUUCGGCCUGGCGGCGAGUGGCGAACGGGUGAGUAAUACAUCGGAACGUGCCCAGUAGUGGGGGAUAGCUCGGCGAAAGCCGGAUUAAUACCGCAUACGACCUGAGGGUGAAAGCGGGGGAUCUUCGGACCUCGCGCUAUUGCAGCGGCCGAUGGCAGAUUAGCUAGUUGGUGGGGUAAAGGCCUACCAAGGCGACGAUCUGUAGCUGGUCUGAGAGGACGACCAGCCACACUGGGACUGAGACACGGCCCAGACUCCUACGGGAGGCAGCAGUGGGGAAUAUUGGACAAUGGGCGAAAGCCUGAUCCAGCAAUGCCGCGUGUGUGAUGAAGGCCUUCGGGUUGUAAAGCACUUUUGGCGGGAACGAAAAGGACUGUGCUAAUACCACGGUUCGAUGACGGUACCCGCAGAAUAAGCACCGGCUAACUACGUG